GACGAACGCUGGCGGCGUGCUUAACACAUGCAAGUCGAACGAAGUGGCGCACGGGUGAGUAACGCGUAAUCAACCUGCCCUUCAGCGGGGGACAACAGUUGGAAACGACUGCUAAUACCGCAUACUGAAGGUGGGGCUUGCGUCUGCUUAGCUAGUUGGGGGGGUAACGGGCCACCAGGGCGAGGAUCAGUAGCCGGGCUGAGAGGAUGAACGGCCACAUUGGGACUGAGACACGGCACAGAAUCCUACGGGAGGCAGCAGUGGGGAAUCGUCCGCAAUGGAGGAAAGUCUGACGGAGAAACGCCGCGUGAGUGAUGACGGCCUUCGGGUUGUAAAGCUCUGUUAAUCGGGACGCGGUACCGGAAUAGAAAGCCACGGCUAACUACGUGCCAGCAGCCGCGGUAAUUC
rnacentral:rRNA from 1 species